rnacentral:lncRNA from 1 species
CUGGGAUUACAGGUGUGAGCCACCGUGCCUGGCCUAAAUGUCAUCUUUUGAGAACCUGGCUCCAGCCACUCCAGAAUUUACUCCUGGAUCGUUUAGUUGCAUGAGCUAAGAAAAUCCAUUUUCCCCCCUCUUAAGACAGUUUGAGUUGGAUUUCUCUCACAGAAAGGUAGGAGAAGGUGGGACUUGAGUGAAGCCUGUAAGGUUGGGUUUUACUUUUGCUUUAUAAUGACUUUACAGCUUUUGGAGAAAAUUCACCCAUAGUCACAUUUGAGCCUCACCACAACCUUACAAAGUCAGCAGAGUCUCUAUUAUCAUCUCCAUCUUGCAGAAGAGGAAACUGAAGCUCAGAGAAGUUAGAUGAUGUGUGCAGAGCUGGGGAUCAAUGGAGCUGGGGCACAAAUCCAAGCUCUUUCCACUACACAGAGAAGCUGCUGGAGCUAAAUCAGAUUUGAGUCAGCACAGAGCAUCUCUUUCAGUUCAGUAGGCUUUGUUUUUGUAAUGGGAAUUUAACUCCCUCAGGUGGUCCCGGGAUGGAGGAAUAUUACUGUGCUCAGCAGCAGUGGCGCUGCAGCAUCUUCUAAAGGGAACCAAGGCCACUGUCCCCAAAGGGGCCUCCUGGCUCACUGGGAGGCCUUUGGAAAUCUCAGACUUCCUGGGUGGGGAGGAGAGGAGGAGAUCAUGUGCUGGGAUUACAGGUGUGAGCCACCAUGCCUGGCCAUUUUCCUUCUUUUCUCAUGGUUUGUAGGGCCAGGAUGGGAACACCUCACAGAGGCCUCCUCAGGCCAGCCUAAUUCAGCCUCAUUGAAUGGAAGAAUUAAGGGAAGAGGGGAACUCCAGGGCAUGCCAGGGCUCUCUGUCUAAUACUGCCUUAGCACCAGCUUUACCAAGCACGUUUGUGUUUUAAAAAGGACUCUUAAAAAUGGUCAGAAGGACAGAGACAAUGUGUGAUGACAGAAGCAGAUGCUGGGCUGGCGCAAUUUGAAGAUGUGAAGAGGCCAUGAGUCAAGUAAUUCAGGAGGCCUCUAAAAGCUGGAAAAGGCAAGGAAAUGAUUAUCUCCUGGAGCCUCCAAGAGGAAGGCAGCUUUUGAUUUUAGGGCAAAAAGAAAAAAAAAAAGGAAAAACAACGUAGCAAAGAGACAGAGAGAGGGGUUCCUGUUAACAGGCCCUCAUCUCACAGAUUGAAUUCCAGGUUACCACCCUGGAACAGGAGAGGCCAGGCUCCUCUCCCCUGCAAAGGGUGCAGACUUCCCACAGCUCCGCCACAUAGCAAGACCUCGUCUCUACUAAAAAUCAAAAAAAUUAGCCAGGCAUAGUUGCACAUGCCUGUAGUCCCAGCUACUCAAGAGGCUGAGGUGGGAGGAUGGCUUGAUCCCAGGAGAUUUUUACUUUCCUUAAGAUGCUCUGAUGACUCUACAGUGAAGUGGACUCCAGCCUGGGCAAGAGAGUGAGACUCCAUCACAAACACCCCAAAAACAAACAAACUCAUCCUGAUUAUUUUACUAUACUUUACCAUUAUCUGUGCUCUUGAAGUUAUGUGUAUCUAUCAUGUAGAGCUCCUUGGCUGUAACUUCAUUCUGAAUUGCAAAUGACAGGAUCUCAUUCUUUUUUACGACUGAAUAGUACUCUGUUGUGUAUAUUUACCACAUUUUCUUUAUUCAUCUGUUGAUGGACACUUAGGUUGCUUCCAAAUCUUGGCUAUUGUGAACAGUGCUGCAACAAACAUGGGAGUGCAGACAUCUCUUUGAUACACUGAUUUCCUUUCUUUUGGGUACAUACCCAGCAGUGGGAUUGCUGGACCAUAUGGUAGCUCUAUUUUCAGUUGUUUGAGGAACCUCCAAACUCUUCUCCAGAGUGCUUGUACUAAUUUACAUUCCCACCAACAGUGCAUGAGGGUUCCACAUCCUCAUCAGCAUUUAUUGUUGCCUGUCUUUUUGAUAUAAGCCAUUUGGACUGGGGUAAGAUGGUAUCUCAUUGUAGUUUUCAUUUGCAUUUCUCUGAUGAUCAAUCAUGUGCCUGUCUGCCAUUUGCAUGUCUUCUUUUGAGAAAUGGCUAUUCAAAUCUUUUGCCCAUUAUUUGAUCAGAUUAUUAGAUUUUUUUCCUAUAGAGUUGUUUGAGCUCCUGAUAUAUUUUGGUUAUUAAUCCCUUGUCAGAUGGGUAGUUUGCAAAUAUUUUCUCCCACUCUGCGGGUUGUCUCUUCACUUUGUUGAUGGUUUCUUUUGCUGUGCAGAAGCCUUUUAACUUGAUGGGAUCCCAUUUGUCCAUUUUUGCUUUGAUUGCCUGUCUGGAUAGAUAUUUGAGGUAUUAAGCAAUUGGGCAGAAUUUUCAGGAGAGAGAUGGUCUGUUUCGUUCUGUAUUCCCCUCAGGCCUCAAAGUCUUCCUUUCCAGUGUCCCUCACAGUCCCUGGGCCAGACUGCAUUUGUCUGUUGGGCUUUUCUAAUCCUGGAUGUCACAGUAUUAUCCUUGGCUAUCCCUAUUCUAGUUCACUUUCUUUUUUCAAUUUUGAUUUAUCUUCAGUGGUGACUUCCUGGAGGCCUUAAACCUACCUUGACUUAUAUAAUAACAGGACCAGGCAAAGGAGGGGGAUGCUGGUCUGUCUGUGCAUAUGGCUGGUUGCCAAAUUCCCUGCCCUUUGAAACUGUGU